UAAUGGCUCCACAGCAAAUACGCUGUAAGGGAGAACAACCUCCUUUCAAAAAAGCGAUGGGAGGAGAUGGCAUUUGCUUGUUCCGACUGGCGAAAACAAUCCGUGGUUUUGUGUGGCCUCUGAGCGCUGACGGGGGUCAAAGGUUACUGAGAAAAGCAAGUAAGGGCAGAGGGUAAAUCUUCAGAGGUCAAAACAGAGGUUAGCCCCCCCACACUUUCCAAGCACAGUGUCUGCAUGAGUGUAGAAUGAAGAGGAGAAACGUGUGCGGACAGAAGGGGUCUAGGGAGACUGAGGAAGUCACUGUUUCAUACAGCAAUGCUUCAAACUCAUCAGAAUCCCAAAGCUCGCUGCUUCGCUGGUGAUAAUUAUAUUUGGAGAUCUAAUUAUCUCCUUGACGAAAAUGGAGGGAUACCCUAAAAUUCAUUUUUUUAAGAAAAGCUCUCAGCAGCGACAGCAGCUCAGCUCGGAAUGGCAGCCACAACCAUUUUGUUGAAAACACCCGUUUCCUAAACUCCCACGCGACUCGGCCACCCCAAGCUUUUAAAAUCAAGUAGAAGCCGCAUCACAUCAUAAUAACAGGGUUGUUUUUAUGUCAACAGGCUUUUCCCUCUAAUGGAAAAAAAAGCUAAAAAUGGAAGGAGGUCACGAAGCCGUUGAUCCGCCCCGGCCUUUGGCUUGGCAAGGCUCUACAUCUUCCCCCAGAGAACUCCGAAAGCCCAGGAGAGCUUUCCGAACGUCGUUUACGAAGGUUUCGCAAAACUGUGCCGCACAGACCUUCGUCUCGGCUUAAAACAAUCGGGAAGCGUUUUGAAAAAGUAAAAUGUGAGUUCGGCUCGUAAUUUCUGCGCCUCCCGCCAAGAAAAAAGGUGCCUCGUCCGCACGACACUCGCCCACUCGCGCGAUUCGCUGUCGAAGAGCUUCGCCGCGGCGCGGCACACGCAUCAGCGCGAUCUACCCAGGCGGGGGGGCAAAGGGCAAUCUAGCCAAUAAAAUCAAGGGGUAUCCUAGGAAACAAGCUUCUUCCGCACAAGCCCUGUGCCGUAUAUAUUAGUCAAUAUGCUAAUGUAAACAGCGCUCGCUUCUCGUGUUGGAUUUGCAUCAAAGUGAUGAGUGUUUUUUCUUCAUUUUUCCAGGUUUGCAGAGAGCAGUCAUACAUAUAUUACAUAUAUUACAAGCUUUUAGCUGGGGGAGGGGGGGGGGUGGUGUGUGUGCAUAGAUGCCAGAACGGAGACACAAAAACACUAUCACCACGCAUGCCUUGUAAAAUAAAUUAUUUAAUUUAAGGUUUUACGACAAUUGUGAUGUCCGUUGACCGUCGUAAAUUAGUCACAAUGGGCCUACUUAUCCGGUGCAGCGCGGUCAAUAUAACCGUGAUUAAACGCCGCUGACAACAGCGACCCGCUAACUGCAAGCCCUUUCGCGCGAAGCAGGCCGGGGUUAUGCUGGAGUCGCUGCUAUCUGCUGUAAGCCUGUGUUAGCCACUGUUUAGCCGCAGUUACGCUGGAGCCACUGUUAGCCACUGUUAGUCGCUGUUAGCCACUGUUAGCCGGUGUUAGCCGCAGUUACACUGUUAGCCGCUAUUAGCCACUGUUAGCUGGUGUUAGCCUCAAUUACACUGUUAGCCGCUAUUAGCCACUGUUAGCCGGUGUUAGCCGCAGUUACGCUGUUAGCCGCUAUUAGCCACUGUUAGCCGGUGUUAGCCGCAGUUACACUGUUAGCCGCUAUUAGCCACUGUUAGCCGCUAUUAGCCACUGUUAGUCGCUGUUAGCCACUGUUAGCCGGUGUUAGCCGCAGUUACACUGUUAGCCGCUAUUAGCCACUGUUAGUCGCUGUUAGCCACUGUUAGUCGCUGUUAGCCGCUAUUAGCCACUGUUAGCCGGUGUUAGCCGCAGUUACGCUGUUAGCCGCUAUUAGCCACUGUUAGCCGGUGUUAGCCGCAGUUACGCUGUUAGCCGCUAUUAGCCACUGUUAGCCGGUGUUAGCCGCAGUUACACUGUUAGCCGCUAUUAGCCACUGUUAGUCGCUGUUAGCCACUGUUAGCCGGUGUUAGCCGCAGUUACACUGUUAGCCGCUAUUAGCCACUGUUAGUCGCUGUUAGCCACUGUUAGCCGCUAAUUGAGACAAACACUUAACCUCCGUCAGGAAGCAGCUGUGUUUGAUCAGAAAAAACUACCUCCUGAUGCUACUCCAGUCAAUAUGUGCGUGCUGUUGCAGAUAAAAUGCAUCAAUGACUUAAUUUAUCCACAAGAAUUAUAUUUUAGACGGAUAGUACGGUGAAGAUUGCUUGCUGCUACUUUCUUUGCCUGUUCUUGAUUAUGGUGAUCUGGCAUCCAUGAACGCUUCGAAUCACUGCCUUCACAUGUGGGAUUCUGCGCAUCAACGGGCUUUGAGAUUCAUUUCCAACUGCAGAGCCCUGAACUCAUCGUUGCUCAUGUUUUUAUUUGCAAUGCUAUUUUUGGAUGACUUCCCUCCUAAUUUCUGCAGAUUAAUGGCACUCACAUGUGAAGGCAAUUCUAGGUUGCGGUUUCAUGGCUGUUUGUAAAGUUCCCACUGAGUUUGGAGAGGAGGCCUUCAUGCAUUCUGCCCAGAAUAGCCUUCAGAAAGAGCUACAGCUUUGGGGUUUGGCAACUCUCGGGGCAUUUAAAACUCUUGUCAAGAGGUUGUGAACAGAUUCUGUGGGAAAUUGCAAAUGGUUUUUUUUUUGGUUUUUUUUCCGCACUGUAAUUCGAUUGUCUUCAUACUUUUUUUGUACGCUUUUCAUGUUGUAUUUGUCUAAAACAAAAUGUGCUGCCCUUCUUGGCCAGGAGAUCUCUUGUAAAAGAGAUUUUAAUCUCAAACCUGGUACAAUAAAUAAAUAAAUAAAUAAAUAAAUAAAUAAGGCUGUAGUCCAGGUGGAGGGAGACUGGGAGAUGUAAGGAAGUUUUGCCCAAGCUUUCUCAGAAAUACUUUACAUGUGAAUUGUCUCUCUUAUAGUACAUGUUUACUGAUUCACUUAUAGUACAUGUGUACAUACAGUGAGCCCCAUAAUGUUUGGGACAAACACAUUUUUUUUUCUCAAUUUGAGUCUGUACUUUUCUGCAAUUUUAGAUUAUGGGAGAAAGUACAAAACAUGACUACAUUUAUUUAUAUAACAUUAAUAUGCCCCAAACAUUAUGGUGCCCUGAAAUGCUAUGCGUAAAACUGCCAACACAGUUUCUCAUAGUAAUUUCUACAUGGCGAAACCAAACUGCACAAAACGCGCCCUCAGAUAAAAGGUGAAACCGUACACUUCAA